GCCUUUGUAGCUCAAUGGUAGAGCGCACCCUCGAAACGGGCGAGACGGCGGUUCAAGUUCCGCCCAAAGGCACAA
rnacentral:tRNA from 1 species